rnacentral:rRNA from 1 species
GACGAACGCUGGCGGCGUGCUUAACACAUGCAAGUCGAACGGAAAGGCCCUGCUUUUGUGGGGUUCUCGAGUGGCGAACGGGUGAGUAACACGUGAGUAACCUGCCCUUUACUUUGUGAUAACUUCAGGAAACUGGGGCUAAUACCUGAUAGGAUCUCCUGCUGCAUGGUGGGGGUUGGAUAUUUUCGGCGGUUGGGGAUGGACUCGCGGCUUAUCAGCUUGUUGGUUGGGUAGUGGCUUACCAAGGCUUUGACGGGUAGCCGGCCUGAGAGGGUGACCGGCAAAAUUGGGACUGAGAGAAGGCCCAGAAUCCAACGGGAGGCAGCAGGGGGGAAUAUUGCAAAAUGGGCGGAAGCCUGAUGAAGCAAAGCCGCGUGCGGGAUGAAGGCCUUCGGGUUGUAAACAGCUUUAGCCUGUGACGAAGCGUGAGUGACGGUAAUGGGUAAAGAAGCACCGGCUAACUACGUG